rnacentral:lncRNA from 10 species
GUACUGGGACGAUUCCGCGGAGCCGGGCAGAGGUUUUAGGGGAAUGAUUAACAAAGGCGUCCGAAGAAAUCGUUGUUGGAAGGUGACCAAGGUGGAAAGAGACGUUGCUUUGGCCCUGCAAGUAAGAAGAGAGAGGGAAUAGCCUGAAGGAGUAACACUAAAUUUAAAAUGACACUUUUUUACCAACCAGCGAAAGCAGAUGUUCAAAGGGGAUAUUGGCCAGGUGCGGUCGCUCACGCCUUUAAUCCCAGCACUUUGGGGGCAGACGCGGGGAGAUAGCGUGAUUCUAGGAGUUCAACCCCAGCCUGGGCAACAUGCGGAGACCCCGUACCGUCUCUACAAAAACAUUAAACAAAAAAAUUAGCUGGGCAUGGUGGUGUACCCCUGUAGUUGCAGCUACACUAGAGGCUGAGGUGGGAGGAUCGCUUGAGCCCGGGAUGUUGAGGCUGCAGUGAGCCUCGAUCCUACCACUGUGCUCCAGCCUGGGCGACAGCAAGCCCGUGUCUCAGAAAAGGCGGGAGGGGUGGGAUAUUAUUGAUGAUAGGCCUUCUGACGUCUGGCAAUAGAUUCCAGAGUAACAUCGGUCAUGGAUAAAUUUUUUUUUUAACUAAGU